GGGCUCGUAGCUCAGCGGAUAGAGCGUCUGCCUCCGGAGCAGAAGGUCGAGGGUUCGAAUCCCUUCGAGCCCA
rnacentral:tRNA from 1 species